CGCAUCGAUGAAGAACGUAGCGAAAUGCGAUACUUGGUGUGAAUUGCAGAAUCCCGUGAACCAUCGAGUCUUUGAACGCAAGUUGCGCCCGAAGCCAUCAGGUCAAGGGCACGUCUGCCUGGGCGUCACACGCCGUUGCUCCCCCCCAAACCCCCCUCCCGCUC
rnacentral:rRNA from 1 species